CAUUGCCUUAGUAACGGCGUGAAGCGGCAACAGAAAUUUGAAAUCUGGCUCCCGGGGUCCGAGUUGUAAUUUGUAGAGAGUGCGGGGGAGACCGCGGUCUAAGUCCAUUGGAACAUGGUGUCAGAGAGGGUGAGAAUCCCGUAUGUGAUCGUGGAUCGACCCCAUGUGAAGCCUCUUCGACGAGUCGAGUUGUUUGGGAAUGCAGCUCAAAAUGGGUGGUAAAUUUCAUCUAAAGCUAAAUAUUGGCUGGAGACCGAUAGCGCACAAGUAGAGUGAUCGAAAGAUGAAAAGCACUUUGGAAAGAGAGUUAAACAGUACGUGAAAUUGUUGAAAGGGAAGCGCUUGCAACCAGACCUGCCCGUCGGCGAUCAGCCGCUGUUCUCAGCGGUGCACUCGCUCUGCGAUCAGGCCAGCAUCGGUUUCGGCGGUCGGAUAAAGGCCUUGGGAAUGUAGCUUCCCUUCGGGGGAGUCUUAUAGCCCUCGGU
rnacentral:rRNA from 1 species